GACGAACGCUGGCGGCGUGCUUAACACAUGCAAGUCGAACGGUGACCCCGGUGCUUGCACCGGGUGAUCAGUGGCGAACGGGUGAGUAACACGUGAGCAACCUACCCCUGACUUCGGGAUAACUUCGAGAAAUCGGAGCUAAUACCGGAUACGAGACGUACGGGCAUCCGUUGCGUCUGGAAAGAUUUAUCGGUUGGGGAUGGGCUCGCGGCCUAUCAGCUUGUUGGUGGGGUAAUGGCCUACCAAGGCGACGACGGGUAGCCGGCCUGAGAGGGCGACCGGCCACACUGGGACUGAGACACGGCCCAGACUCCUACGGGAGGCAGCAGUGGGGAAUAUUGCACAAUGGGCGAAAGCCUGAUGCAGCGACGCCGCGUGGGGGAUGAAGGCCUUCGGGUUGUAAACCCCUUUCAGCAGGGAAGAAGCGAGAGUGACGGUACCUGCAGAAGAAGCGCCGGCUAACUACGUG
rnacentral:rRNA from 1 species